GGGAAAUUACUCCCGGCAGGUUUCUAGUCUACUCUUAAUCAGUAGGUCCUCGGUUCGAUCCCGAGACGGCCUACCA
rnacentral:tRNA from 1 species